rnacentral:rRNA from 1 species
GAUGAACGCUGGCGGCGUGCCUAAUACAUGCAAGUCGAGCGAACGGACGAGAAGCUUGCUUCUCUGAUGUUAGCGGCGGACGGGUGAGUAACACGUGGAUAACCUACCUAUAAGACUGGGAUAACUUCGGGAAACCGGAGCUAAUACCGGAUAAUAUUUUGAACCGCAUGGUUCAAAAGUGAAAGACGGUCUUGCUGUCACUUAUAGAUGGAUCCGCGCUGCAUUAGCUAGUUGGUAAGGUAACGGCUUACCAAGGCAACGAUGCAUAGCCGACCUGAGAGGGUGAUCGGCCACACUGGAACUGAGACACGGUCCAGACUCCUACGGGAGGCAGCAGUAGGGAAUCUUCCGCAAUGGGCGAAAGCCUGACGGAGCAACGCCGCGUGAGUGAUGAAGGUCUUCGGAUCGUAAAACUCUGUUAUUAGGGAAGAACAUAUGUGUAAGUAACUGUGCACAUCUUGACGGUACCUAAUCAGAAAGCCACGGCUAACUACGUGCCAGCAGCCGCGGUAAUACGUAGGUGGCAAGCGUUAUCCGGAAUUAUUGGGCGUAAAGCGCGCGUAGGCGGUUUUUUAAGUCUGAUGUGAAAGCCCACGGCUCAACCGUGGAGGGUCAUUGGAAACUGGAAAACUUGAGUGCAGAAGAGGAAAGUGGAAUUCCAUGUGUAGCGGUGAAAUGCGCAGAGAUAUGGAGGAACACCAGUGGCGAAGGCGACUUUCUGGUCUGUAACUGACGCUGAUGUGCGAAAGCGUGGGGAUCGAACAGGAUUAGAUACCCUGGUAGUCCACGCCGUAAACGAUGAGUGCUAAGUGUUAGGGGGUUUCCGCCCCUUAGUGCUGCAGCUAACGCAUUAAGCACUCCGCCUGGGGAGUACGACCGCAAGGUUGAAACUCAAAGGAAUUGACGGGGACCCGCACGAGCGGUGGAGCAUGUGGUUUAAUUCGAAGCAACGCGAAGAACCUUACCAAAUCUUGACAUCCUUUGACAACUCUAGAGAUAGAGCCUUCCCCUUCGGGGGACAAAGUGACAGGUGGUGCAUGGUUGUCGUCAGCUCGUGUCGUGAGAUGUUGGGUUAAGUCCCGCAACGAGCGCAACCCUUAAGCUUAGUUGCCAUCAUUAAGUUGGGCACUCUAAGUUGACUGCCGGUGACAAACCGGAGGAAGGUGGGGAUGACGUCAAAUCAUCAUGCCCCUUAUGAUUUGGGCUACACACGUGCUACAAUGGACAAUACAAAGGGCAGCGAAACCGCGAGGUCAAGCAAAUCCCAUAAAGUUGUUCUCAGUUCGGAUUGUAGUCUGCAACUCGACUACAUGAAGCUGGAAUCGCUAGUAAUCGUAGAUCAGCAUGCUACGGUGAAUACGUUCCCGGGUCU